UGAAACAUUCCUUGGGAACUCGGGCCGUG
rnacentral:piRNA from 1 species